AACCAUAGAAACCUGCGGAGUACCUGCGGAAGGAUCAUUAUUGAAUAAAUCUGACAUGGUUGUAGCUGGCUCUUAGGAGCAUGUGCACACCUGUCACCUUUAUCUUUCCACCUGUGAACCCUUUGUAGUCCCAGGAUAACCUCUCGCGCACUCUAGUGUUGCGGAUGCGAAGGUUGUUGUGCCUCUGGCCAGCUCCCAUCGAAUUUCCUGGGUCUAUGUUUCUUAUACACCCCUGUAUGU
rnacentral:misc_RNA from 1 species